UUGACUUAGUGGUUAAGUACUUGGCUGCUAACUGAAAGAUUGGUGGUUCAAACCCACCA
rnacentral:tRNA from 1 species